CCAAGGCUGUUGUCUUGCUUGAUUUUUAUUAACCAAGCAGAGUUUGACUACAUCAGCAAUCGUACAGAAGCCCUCCAGGAGAAAUUAAGAAAGAAUAGGCUGGAUGCUUUCCAGGGUUGAUCCUGUGCAGUAGAGCUGCAGCUGGAGCAUUGGUCAGCUGCAGGCACACGUGGGAGAGGAAGGGGCCCCACCAAGCACACACCUUUCUGCCAGAUCCUUCUGCGUUUGGCAUCCUCAAUUUACGCUCGUGACAAAAAUUUCAGGAAUUACAAUGAUUUGGAGAGUAAAACACACAUUUCUGUUGUGUCGUGGUAGCUUUGGUGUAUCACAAGGGCAUUGUUAAGAAUGGUUCCUACAUAUA
rnacentral:lncRNA from 1 species